rnacentral:lncRNA from 1 species
UUCUCUCACCUCUUCUCCACUACACACUUCUCUUCUAUUUAAUUCUCUCUAAUUAUUGUAAUCAUUAGGAAAAACUCAAUGUAAUCAAGCUUUUUAUGAUUUAUAUAAUAUUUUCAAGUUUGAUCGUAUGUUCUUUCAUGGCUAUUUUUGGCUAGAUUCUUAAGAGUGUUUGGGGAAAACUUACCCCUUUGAUGUUGAGGUAACUAAGGAAGAUCAUGGGUGAACAAGGUGUGUGUGUGUGUGUAUUAAUGACUUUACCUGACACUUUUUUUCACAACUCACACCUCAAACAACAUGCAGUACACUACAAGAAAAGGGGGUAAUAGCGGCAACACGCUAUAUGUCGCCGCUAUUGACCUGAUCCGGAGGCGGUGUCCCAGCACAAACCCUAGCCGUCCAUUCCUUAUCCUGAUCCUAUGGAUAGGGUUUAGUUAGGGUAAAAGCGGCGACAACAUGAGUAACUACAAUAUUGAAAUUUGGAUGAAAUGGUCUACGGGAAAGUGUUAA